CAAGCUCGAGGAAAAGAUUUAAACUAGCGUGUUUCGUAUUGUUUCAUUAACGAUUGUACAAAUGUAUCGCGAUUCCAAUAAUUCCUGCGGUCGCACCUCGGAAAAACGCACAAGUGCCAAAUCAUCAAAUCCAAGAGCAGACGACGUACGCAGCAGUUACCCUCUCGCAGCUUUGAAACCGUGUUUCGUCGUUAAAUGGUUACUUUUUCUGCCAAAACGAAGAAAAAUACUCAUCUCUCAAGAGUCGCACUGUUGUCGCCGCUGCCAUUGCAUCAUCUUUGGUUUCGCAUAAACGGACAAACUAUUUUAUCCCUGUUGCGCGAUAUCGUAAAUACAUCAACGAGUCUCCCAAAAACAUAACAAGAUCUUUAUAUGCUAAGAUUAACAAUGUCUUAUUAUUUCUUGCUUAAAAAUCGACGCAUUCAUGCUACCAACUUUGAAAAAUAUCAAUUUAUUUUGAAACCAUUCAAAACGUUUAAAAUCUAACAGCUUUACUUUAUCAUUUACAAAAAACUUUUUUUAGAAAGAUCUUAGUAAAUACUUAAACAUAUAAAGCCAGCUUCUUUUUUAACGAUUGUCCGUUUUUGUGGUCCACAGUUUUAACAACUGUUUAGCCUUCCGCUAAGAAACAUGUUAUUCGCAAUUAGCUGUUUAUAUGUUUGCUAUUAUAAAAUACAAGAAUUUAUUUGUAUUUACGUAAUUUAUCAUGUAUGUAUAUAUAUGUGUGUGUGGGGGUGUGUGUGUGUGUUCAAUGACAUUACAGUUUAGAAAUGUCAUGAAAAUUUUAUCAAAAUUUACAAGUAUAAUAAAACGAUCAAAAUAAGAUUGUUUUAUAGGGAUUUAGCAGAGCGACUUAAUAGAAAUUUAAUCUGUUUUAAAUAAAAUUGUCUACGACGAUAUCAAUUUAUAAUCAGUUCAAUAUCAAUUAUUAAUUAUUUAUUUUUAUUAAAUUGUCACCUGUUUAUUGAAAAUAAAACUUGUUUGAUAACAAUUAACUUUCAACAGGUACAAGUCUUUCUUAUUUCCAUAAAUCCAACUACAAUGAGAUUGAAAAUGAGACUAAAUCAUCACAGAACGCUUCCGCGAUUAUCGUUUAUCCCUAACGAUUAUCGUAGUCCCCACUUACGUACAUAUAAUACUUUCAAAUUACCACUUUUUAGUUGCAUUUAAUGUGAAAGAUAUAGAGAAUAUUUCUUACAUCCUAAUGCUUCAAAAAUUUUUUAUAUUUUAAAUUUAUAAAGGUUUCUUAAAAAAUAGCUAAAAUUAUUUCAAACUUUUUAACUUUUCUUUAAAAAUUAUAUAAAAUAAGAAAUCAUAGAAUAUAUUAGCAUUCACAUAUAUAAAAACUGUUAGAAAAAAUAUAGAUUUUUUUCAUAGUUUUUUAUAUUUUCAGAUUUAUGAUUGCUUCAAAAUAAACGCUUAUAGAGUUAGUUGGAUUUUUGGUAAGUAAACAUUUUAAUAAUUGAAUGUAUAAACACGUUUCGUUUAUUUCGAUAUUUGUUUAAUAUAAGAGCCUGUACAUAUAUGUCUUAAUUUAAAUAAUAACUUCUUCAAAAAUUAUAGAAUGAGAAAUUGUUAGAACAUUUCAAAAUUUAUAUAUACAAGGUAACUUAUUUUAAAAAUAUAUUUAAAUACUAAAAAAACAGCGUUUCACAAUAAAUGUUUAAAUCGUUAACACAGCUUCUCACCUCCAAACGUCACCAAACGGAAGUAUAAACACAGGGAUUUUCUACUCUCAAUUCAUAGCGUUAAGAUUUUGUGAGCGUUUCGAAGCAUAUUUUUGUGAUUGUAAUUCGAACUUAGAAUAUUUUCGUGUGAUCAGCAUACUGACUUAAAAUAUCUUCGUGUGAUUGUUAACUGAAUUUGGAAUGAUUCCACAUUUAAGUGAACCAAACUUCCGAUUAAUUAUUAAUAGAUUAUUAUACAUCUUCAUUUUGUUCUUUUUUGUAAAUUAGAUUCCGCUUGCGAUUCCGAGACGAGUGCAAUUAUUUUAUCGUGUGCGAGCUGACUCUCAACUUAAGGUGCGAAUUUCGAUUCGAGUUAAUAUUAAUAAAUUAAAGAUUCUAGCAUAAAGUUAGUUUUCGUUUCUUGUUUGUAUAGUAAUUAUCCCGCGCGUGAAGUUGGUGAACGACGAGUGUCUUGCAUCCUCCAUUUCUUCAAUACCGUCCUUACAAAAGGCUAGCGUGGCAACGUCACGUGGCAGUGGUUUGGGGUAACAAUUGGAAAGAAUUAUUAAAAAUAGAGGAAGAAGAUUCAUUCGUCACAGAAUCUUAUUACGAACAAUUCAACAAAGGCACUCAUUUUUAUUGAUAAAACGUUAUCAAAUUUAAUAUUAAAUAAUUUAAAUGACAAGUUAAUAAUUUUUGUUAAUGGAACUUUCGCUACAGUUCCUCAACUAAAAAAUUCGAAUUGUCAGUUAUGGACAACUGUCAUAAGACAUAAUAAUAAAACAUUUCCAAUAGUGUACAUUAUUGUGGAAGGACACACAACGCAAAACUAUAUCAACGUGUUAAAAAAAAUAAAAAAUAUUUUUAAAAUAAAUCCUGACAUUGCAAUGUCAGACUUUGAAAACGCCGAACAAAAAAAAAGCCUUACGUACGGUUUUCUCCAACAUUAAAAUUAUUGGCUGCUACUUCCUUAUUACAGCCAGGCGUUAGUACACAAUACUGAAAAACACGGAAUAUUAAAAAAUGAUAAAAAUGGAGUAGGUUGGGGUGCGACAAAAUUAUUGAUAUCGUUAGUCUUUUUACUAGAAAAAUUAAUAGUAGAAGGUUUCAAUCUAAUAUUAGGAAUUAUUUUUCAAGAUUGCACGUAUUUGCAGUUUUUCCAAUAUUAUAAAGAUACGUGGAUAAACAUUUUAAGCCUGAUUAUUUUUCGGUUUUCGAACAAAUACACCGAACCAAUAACGUAUCUGAAAGACACAACCGAGAACUUCAGUUAAAUCUGAAAAAACACACAACAAUUGCUGAAUUUUUAGGUAAAUUAAACGCCAUAUCUCGUAAAAUUUUUUCCAUACCAUCUUUUCCAUACCAUAUUAAUUAUUCUUAAAAUGAAAUAUUAUUUACUGUUGCGGAAUGCGCGAGGGAGCCUCGCGAGUGCGGCCGCGAGGCUGCGGCAUGUAUCGAUCACGACAUCCAAUCGCGAUCCGCGGGAUUCGCUCCACGCGUAGCGUGCGUGAAUGCGAGCAACCGCUUGCUUUCUGAAACCAGGAAAACAAAGUAAAGGAUCCCUCCCAUUGUCAUCACGCGGCGAAAAAUGUUGUGACGUACGCAGCCCUAAUUGGGCAGGAAGGAUCUUACGAUCCUUCUAAAUCGCGAACACCGCCGCGCACCCAUUUUUCCGCAGCAGAGCGUUUUCGAACGGAAACCGCAGCAGUCAUCCCUCCGUGUCUCGCGGAUUUCUCUUGUUCGGUAAAUCGCGCUACACCGAAUAUCCGUGCUCCGAGUUUCCGCAGUUCAUUGGAUUCGGCUCGCGAGUCUCGCUCCGCCGAUUCCAUAAUCAAGUAACCAACAAUCUUUUGGAGCCCUCCGCUCCGCUCCUUUAGGGUAUUUUACAUUUCGUGCCUAAGCUCGGAUUGCGAGUGUCACUCCACCGCAGUUUUCUCCAAGGACAAAACGACCAGCUCGAGACGCAAGUUUCUUCCGCCGAAGUCUAUACGAAUCAUAAGAGACGAAGGAAGAAGCGAUAAUUGUCAUUCGCGAGCGAUCAAAAUACGAUAGUGGCAAUCUCGCAGUGUCACGAGUGAUUGUUACGAUAAACGAGCGUUCAGUUCAGAAUAAAACUUAUUGCUGCAUUUCAAGUUCAUCUGAGAA